GAAAAAGAGUGCAAAGAGGGAGAAAGGAAAGGUUGGGGAGGGAGGGAGAGAGAGAAAGAAAUAAAGAGAACGAAAUGAGGGAGGAGCGUAGGAGAGAGGAAGUGGGACAGAGAUGGAGAGAGAUAAGAGAAAGAGUAUGGGAAAUAAAGAGAGAUUGAAACUAAGGCUCUGUGAUUUCCCUCGCUCCACGCCUCUGCUAGCUCAGCAUUCUGGGUGAAGAAUUGAUAUUUUUCAUACAUUUUCUAACAGGCCCAUGGGAAGUGAAUGCAGUGGAUCCCUGUUUGUAACGAGCACAUGGCUACUGAGGAAACGUAUGAGAUGACUGAAAGAAUGACUCUUGCCUCCUGGGCUGCACGACUUCCUGUGCCCCUCUGUGUUUGAUUUUGGUAUUGGAUUGUCUUUUUUACUUGCAUUGGCUGAAUAAAAUGUCAUUUUAAGAUGGAACCAACUAAGCUGUUUCCUAUUAAAAGUCACCCCUUUCAGGAAA